rnacentral:rRNA from 1 species
GACGAACGCUGGCGGCGUGCCUAAUACAUGCAAGUAGAACGCUGAAGGAGGAGCUUGCUUCUCUGGAUGAGUUGCGAACGGGUGAGUAACGCGUAGGUAACCUGCCUGGUAGCGGGGGAUAACUAUUGGAAACGAUAGCUAAUACCGCAUAAGAGUAGAUGUUGCAUGACAUUUACUUAAAAGGUGCAAUUGCAUCACUACCAGAUGGACCUGCGUUGUAUUAGCUAGUUGGUGAGGUAACGGCUCACCAAGGCAACGAUACAUAGCCGACCUGAGAGGGUGAUCGGCCACACUGGGACUGAGACACGGCCCAGACUCCUACGGGAGGCAGCAGUAGGGAAUCUUCGGCAAUGGACGGAAGUCUGACCGAGCAACGCCGCGUGAGUGAAGAAGGUUUUCGGAUCGUAAAGCUCUGUUGUAAGAGAAGAACGAGUGUGAGAGUGGAAAGUUCACACUGUGACGGUAUCUUACCAGAAAUGGACGGCUAACUACGUG